GGAGCUCUGAGCUUCCCAAAAUGUGGGCUUCUUGGGAAACUUGUAGUGAGAAUUCUGAAGAUGUGCACAGUGAAAAAUAUCGGGCAAGGCCAAACAUCCAGUUGAGGUGCUGAGAAGCAUAAGAAGAGCUGUGGUGAGCUACUUCUUGUGGAAUCAGAGUAUUAAGAAAUCCCGGGAAAACUUGUCAAAAAGAAAAUGAUCGAGGCUUUUCCUGCCCCGAGGCUAUCUCAAGGGAGGAAGAAGAGGGUAUAUGGAAGCCUGCCUCCAGAAGACUGGUGAGAACAGAAGGGUUGGCCAGCCCCAGGACAGCCCUCAAGCUGGAGAAACGGAGGCUGAGACAGAGUUUUGAGACGUGUCUGUGAGAGCG
rnacentral:lncRNA from 1 species